GACGCUUAUCCCGAAACCCGUUCGUAGUUCGGAUUGAGGGCUGUAACUCGCCCUCCUGAAGCUGGAUUAGGUAGUAAUCGCGUCUCAAAAAGGCGCGGUGAAUAUGCCCCUGCUCCUUGCACACACCGCCCGUCAAACCAUCUUAGUUGUGGGUGGGUGAGGCUGCCUCUCUUUCGAGAUGUGGUAUUCGAGCUNGCCUUCGACAAGGAGGGUUAAGUCGUAACAAGGUA
rnacentral:rRNA from 1 species